AACACAUGCAAGUCGCACGAGAAAGCCCGUUUUCGGAUGGGCGAGUAAAGUGGCGCACGGGUGAGUAACGCGUGGGCAGCCUACCCUUGUAUCUGGGAUAACAGUGCGAAAGUGCUGCUAAUACCGGAUACGACCCUUGAGCGGGAGCUUGAGGGUGAAAGUCGGCCUCUCGAAGAAGCUGGCGUACAGGGAUGGGCCUGCGUCCUAUCAGCUAGUUGGCGGGGUAACGGCCCACCAAGGCGACGACGGGUAGGCUGGUUUGAGAGGAUGAUCAGCCACACUGGCACUGGAACACGGGCCAGACUCCUACGGGAGGCAGCAGUGAGGAAUUUUGCGCAAUGGCCGCAAGGCUGACGCAGCAACGCCGCGUGGGUGAAGAAGGCCUUCGGUCGUAAAGCCCUGUCAGGUGGGAAG
rnacentral:rRNA from 1 species